rnacentral:rRNA from 1 species
CCUACGGGAGGCAGCAGUGGGGAAUAUUGGACAAUGGGGGGAACCCUGAUCCAGCGAAGCAGCGUGAGUGAAGAAGUAUUUCGGUAUGGAAAGCUCUAUCAGUAGGGAAGAAAGAAAUGACGGUACCUGACUAAGAAGCCCCGGCUAACUACGUGCAAGCAGCCGCUGUAAUCCGUAGGGGGCAAGCGUAAACCGGAUUUACUGGGUGUAAAGGGAGCGUAGCCGGCGAGGCAAGUCUGAAGUGAAAGGCGGGGGCCCAACCCCCGGAUUGCUUUGGAAACUGUAUGGCUGGAGUGCAGGGGAGGGAAGUGGAAUUCGUAGUGUAGCGGUGAAAUGCGUAGAUAUUAGGAGGAACACCAGGGGCGAAGGCGGCUUACUGGACUGUAACUGACGUUGAGGCUCGAAAGCGUGGGGAGCAAACAGGAUUAGAUACCCUGGUAGUC